rnacentral:lncRNA from 1 species
GAUUAUCAUAUCGCACUAACACACAAAAUUUUGAAGAUGAGGCUGUUGGGUUUCUUUUCUUUGUAUUUUUUUCAUUGGUUUAGCCCUUCUCUCUCUCACGCCUAAAGCUUUCAUGGGAACCAGUAUUGCUCUCAUAAUUAUCAUUGCUAUAGGUAAUCUCUCUCUCUCUCUCUAUUAAUAAUUCGAUUUGUAUGUUAAAUUUCAUAUAUCACAUAUCAUGAAUGUUAAUUAUUUUAAUAUGCAUUAAUUGUUUAUCAGCUGCAGUUAGCAGGUUGCUGAGUAGGAAAAGAACGGUUUCCUCUAGCGAAGAUAGCGAUGAAGGCCCAAAAAUACCGAACGCUCCUCCGGUACCUCACUAUUCGUUGCAGAGCGAUAGCGGUAAACAAGAAUGGAACGAACCCAGCCAUCUAUGGCGGUUGAGAAACGAACUGAGCCGAGCUGGAUACCUCCAGGCUCGGGCUCGGUUCGUGAAGAUUUGAUUCGGCUCGAGUUUGGCUCGAGCUCGAAUUCGAGCCUAAAAAUGAGCUCGAGCUCGGCUCGCUUAUAUAAUAUCAAGCUCGAGUUUGGUUCGAAUUCGACUCGUCAAUUAUUCGUUUAUCUCGAGCUCGAAUAUCAAGUUCGAUUUCAAAUUCAGGCUCGAAUUCGAGCUCGGUUCGAAUUAUUUAUAUAUUAAUGCAUGUUUCAUUAAAAUAAAAAAAAUAUAUUUGUUCAUAUAUUACUAGACUAUUUAUGAAUCAUAAUUUAUAAUUUAUUUUUAACAAAUAGAUAAUUUAUCAAGUUAGUAGUAAAUUUUUUUAAUUAUGAGAAUUGUUUUUAUUAUUUAAAAAAUACUUAACAAAUAAAAUUUAUAAAAUUAUUAUUUAAUGAACAUAUUCACGAGCCUAUUCACGAACAUAUUCGCGAGCCUAUUCGCGAAUAGGUUCGAGCCGAACAUGUUCGCGAGCUCAUGAGCCGAAUAUGUAUAGGCUCGAGUUCGGCUCGAUAAUUUUAUUGAGCUCAGAUUCGGGCUCGAGUUCGGCUCGUUUAGAAAACGAACGAAUUUCGAACGAGCUUUUUUCGAGCCAAGCCCCUAAUAGUUCGCGAGCAGCUUAGUUCGUUUACACCCCUACUCUCUAUUAAUAAUUCGAUUUGUAUGUUAAAUUUCAUAUAUCACAUAUGAUAUCAUGAAUGUUAAUUAUUUUGAUAUGCAUUAAUUGUAUCAGCUGCAGUUAGCAGGUUGCUGAGUAGGAAAAGAGCGGUUUCCUCUAGCGAAGAUAGCGAUGAAGGCCCAAAAAUACCGAACGCCCCGAUACUUCACUAUUUGUUGCAGGGCGAUAGCGGUACACAAGAAUGGGACGAACCCAGCCAUCUACGGCGGUGGAUAAGGAAGACGAAACUGUCGUAUGAUACCCUCAAUCUAUGGCGGUUGAAACAGAUGACUGGCAGGGAUAGGACUUGAUGACCUCCAAUAUACACUACUACAAAUUUGGCUUUUUUCUACUAUGCAAAGACUAUUACUUUUUACCAACAGUGUAGUGUAGUGUAUGUGCGUUAAUAGACUACGAUCGAUCACCGUACUGCAUGAGCGUGUAUUAUUUACUUUUUUCUACAUUUAUUUUCACAAUGUAUGUGCGUUUGUAUUUAUAAAUUUCUCUAUGAUCAUCUUCGAACUGUAGUGUAUAUCUGUGAAUGUUUGUUUU